rnacentral:ncRNA from 1 species
CGAUGCCUUGACGGGAGCUCGGAAAAACCGGGCUGAGAGGGGCCCUUGAUCCGAUCGGAAGAGCUGUGGGCCCGCCCGUGGAACCUGAACCGGAUAAUGCCGGCGGAGGAAUGAAGGCUCAUGGGUGAA